GAUAGAGUGGUGCAGUGGUUUGAGCAUUGGACUGUGACUUGAAACCAGGGCUCAAAUCCCUGCUUGGCCA